rnacentral:rRNA from 1 species
AAAAGAAACCAACAGGGAUUACCUCAGUAACGGCGAGUGAAGCGGUAACAGCUCAAAUUUGAAAGCUAGCUCUUUUAGGGUUCGCAUUGUAAUUUGUAGAAGAUGCUUCGGGUGUGGCCCCGGUCUAAGUUCCUUGGAACAGGACGUCAUAGAGGGUGAGAAUCCCGUAUGUGACUGGGUGCUUUCGCUCAUGUGAAGCUCUUUCGACGAGUCGAGUUGUUUGGGAAUGCAGCUCAAAAUGGGUGGUAAAUUUCAUCUAAAGCUAAAUAUUGGCCAGAGACCGAUAGCGCACAAGUAGAGUGAUCGAAAGAUGAAAAGCACUUUGGAAAGAGAGUUAAACAGUACGUGAAAUUGUUGAAAGGGAAGCGCUUGCAACCAGACUUGCGCGCUGAUGAUCAUCCGGGCUUCUGUCCGGUGCACUCGUCUGCGCUCAGGCCAGCAUCGGUUUCGGUGGUGGGAUAAAGGCCUUGGGAAUGUAGCUCCUCUCGGGGAGUGUUAUAGCCCUCGGUGCAAUGCCGCCUAUCGGGACCGAGGACCGCGCUUCGGCUAGGAUGCUGGCGUAAUGGUUGUAAGCGACCCGUCUUGAAACACGGACCAAGGAGUCUAACAUCUAUGCGAGUGUUUGGGUGUCAAACCCAUACGCGUAAUGAAAGUGAACGGAGGUGAGAACCCUUAAGGGUGCAUCAUCGACCGGUCCUGAUGUCUUCGGAUGGAUCUGAGUAAGAGCAUAGCUGUUGGGACCCGAAAGAUGGUGAACUAUGCGUGAAUAGGGUGAAGCCAGAGGAAACUCUGGUGGAGGCUCGCAGCGGUUCUGACGUGCAAAUCGAUCGUCAAAUUUGCGUAUAGGGG